AUUGAACGCUGGCGGCAGGCCUAACACAUGCAAGUCGAACGAGUGGCGGACGGGUGAGUAAUGUCUGGGAAACUGCCUGAUGGAGGGGGAUAACUACUGGAAACGGUAGCUAAUACCGCAUACCAUCGGAUGUGCCCAGAUGGGAUUAGCUAGUAGGUGGGGUAAAGGCUCACCUAGGCGACGAUCCCUAGCUGGGCUGAGAGGGUGACCAGCCACCCGGGACCUGGGCCCCGGCCCGGCCUCUUCGGGGAGGCAGAAGUGGGGAAUAUUGGACAAUGGGCGCAAGCUUGCCGCAGAACUCCCGCGUGGAUGAAGAAGGCCUCGGGUUUGUAAAGUCCUUUCAUCGGGGAGGCGUUACCCGCCGAAGAAGCAACGGCUAACUCCGUGCCAGCAGCCGCGGUAAUAC
rnacentral:rRNA from 1 species